GACGAACGCUGGCGGCGUGCUUAACACAUGCAAGUCGAGCGGUAAGGCCCUUUCGGGGGUACACGAGCGGCGAACGGGUGAGUAACACGUGGGUGACCUGCCCUUAGCUCUGGGAUAAGCCUGGGAAACUGGGUCUAAUACCGGAUAUGACUCCAUAACGCAUGUUGUGGGGUGGAAAGCCUUGUGCGGCUAGGGAUGGGCCCGCGGCCUAUCAGC
rnacentral:rRNA from 1 species